UGAGUACGAGCUGCUACGGCAGCGAAGUGGGUGAUGUCAAGCUUCCAAGAAAAGCCCUAUACCCGUUAAGGCAUGACGGCCUGUACCCGAAACCGACACAGGUGGGGUGGUAGAGAAUACCGAGGGGCGCGUGAUAACUCUCUCUAAGGAACUCGGCAAAAUGGCCCCGUAACUUCGGGAGAAGGGGUGCCACCGCAAGGUGGUCGCAGUGAAGAGGCCCAGGCGACUGUUUACCAAAAACACAGGUCUCCGCUAAGUCGCAAGACGAUGUAUGGGGGCUGACGCCUGCCCAGUGCCGGAAGGUUAAGGAAGCUGGUCAGCGCAAGCGAAGCUAGCGACUGAAGCCCCGGUGAACGGCGGCCGUAACUAUAACGGUCCUAAGGUAGCGAAAUUCCUUGUCGGGUAAGUUCCGACCCGCACGAAAGGCGUAACGAUCUGGGCGCUGUCUCGGAGAGAGGCUCGGCGAAAUAGAAUUGUCUGUGAAGAUGCGGACUACGUGCACCCGGACAGAAAGACCCUAUGAAGCUUUACUGCAGCUUGGUAUUGUGCCCGGGCUCUGAAUGCGCAGGAUAGGUGGGAGGCUUUGAUCCAUUGCUUGUGGGUAAUGGUGAGCCACUGGUGAGAUACCACUCUUUCAGAGCUAGGGUUCUAACGGUCACCCGUUAUCCGGGGACCGGACAGUAUCAGGUGGGCAGUUUGACUGGGGCGGUCGCCUCCUAAAAGGUAACGGAGGCGCGCAAAGGUUCCCUCAGGCUGGUUGGAAAUCAGCCGACGAGUGUAAAGGCAGAAGGGAGCUUGACUGUGAGACCUACAAGUCGAACAGGGACGAAAGUCGGCCUUAGUGAUCCGACGGUUCUGAGUGGAAGGGCCGUCGCUCAACGGAUAAAAGUUACUCUAGGAUAACAGGCUGAUCUCCCCCAAGAGUUCACAUCGACGGGGAGGUUUGGCACCUCGAUGUCGGCUCAUCGCAACCUGGGGCUGAAGUCGGUCCCAAGGGUUGGGCGGUUCGCCCAUUAAAGCGGUACGCGAGCUGGGUUCAGAGCGUCGUGAGACAGUUCGGUCCAUAUCCGGUGCACGCGCAGGAACAUUGAGAGGAUUUCUCCCUAGUACGAGAGGACCGGGAGGAACGCACCUCUGGUGUACCAGUUAUCGUGCCAACGGUAAACGCUGGGUAGCCAUGUGCGGAGCGGAUAACCGCUGAAAGCAUCUAAGUGGGAAGCCCACCUCAAGAUGAGUGUUCCCAUGGCAUAAGCCAGUAAGGUCACGGGAAGAACACCCGUUGAUAGGCUCUACGUGGAAGCGUGGCAACACGUGAAGCGGAGGAGUACUAAUAGACC
rnacentral:rRNA from 1 species